rnacentral:tmRNA from 1 species
GGGGGCGACACGGCUUCGACGGGGGUAAGGACUCGCGGGAUGCAUGCCGAGCGCCAUCGCCUCGUAAAUCCGGUGGACACAACGUAACUGCGAACACGCAGCUCGCUCUCGCUGCUUAAUUAAGUAGCGACGUCCUCUCCGUCUUCGCCUUCGGGGCGGAGAAGGAUGUCAUAACAGAAGGCUGGUCGUCACUGGCGGUUCCGACGGGUGACGGCGAGAUUCAUCGGAGCUAGCGACCGCCGGUUUCCGUCGCUCUUCGACGGCGGUCGCGAACCUUCAAGGGCGGCUACGCAUGUAGAUUCCUGCGACGGCGUACUCUCGGACGCGGGUUCGACUCCCGCCGCCUCCACCA